rnacentral:rRNA from 1 species
GAUGAACGCUGGCGGCAUGCCCAAUACAUGCAAGUCGAACGAGAGGAAGGAAAGCUUGCUUUUCUGAAUCUAGUGGCGAACGGGUGAGUAACACGUAGGUAACCUGCCCAUGUGCCCGGGAUAACUUCUGGAAACGGAUGCUAAAACCGGAUAGGUAGCAGACAAGCAUUUGACUGCUAUUAAAGUGGCUAAGGCCAUGAACAUGGAUGGACCUGCGGUGCAUUAGCUAGUUGGUGAGGUAACGGCCCACCAAGGCGACGAUGCAUAGCCGGCCUGAGAGGGCGGACGGCCACAUUGGGACUGAGACACGGCCCAAACUCCUACGGGAGGCAGCAGUAGGGAAUUUUCGUCAGUGGGGGGAACCCUGAACGAGCAAUGCCGCGUGAGUGAAGAAGGUCUUCGGAUCGUAAAGCUCUGUUGUAAGAGAAAAACGACAUUCAUAGGGAAUGAUGAGUGAGUGAUGGUAUCUUACCAGAAAGUCACGGCUAACUACGUGCCAGCCGCCGCAGUAA